rnacentral:rRNA from 1 species
CGGGACGGGUGAGUAAUGUCUGGGAAACUGCCUGAUGGAGGGGGAUAACUACUGGAAACGGUAGCUAAUACCGCAUAACGUCGCAAGACCAAAGAGGGGGACCUUCGGGCCUCUUGCCAUCGGAUGUGCCCAGAUGGGAUUAGCUAGUAGGUGGGGUAACGGCUCACCUAGGCGACGAUCCCUAGCUGGUCUGAGAGGAUGACUAGCCACACUGGAACUGAGACACGGUCCAG